rnacentral:rRNA from 1 species
GACAGAGGCCUCGAGCGUUAGGCGGAAUCACUGGGCUUAAAGCGUAUGCAGGCGGACUUUUAAGUCGGGGGUGAAAUCCCGAGGCUCAACCUCGGAACUGCCUUCGAUACUGGAAGUCUUGAGUCCGGGAGAGGUGAGUGGAACUCCGAGUGUAGAGGUGAAAUUCGUAGAUAUUCGCAAGAACACCAGUGGCGAAAGGCGGCUCACUGGCCCAUAACUGACGCUGAGGCACGAAAGCGUGGGGAGCAAACAGG